UUUAAUGGUUGUAAAACUUUUAAUGCAUAAAAAUUUAGUAUUUUAGACUUUCGACCCUCGACUUUUGACCCUCGACCUCGACUUUUGACCCUCAACCUCGACUUUUGACCCUCGACCUCGACUUCCGAACCUCGAACCUCGACCUAUGACCCUCGACCCUCGACAUUCGACCAUUACCCAAACUCCCAGUGAUGGCUCGAGCUUCAAAUAAUUAAGGUGAAAAACUAUUAUUUUUAUUCACUGUAGAGUAUAAAGCUAUGGUAUCUUAUGGGGCCUGGAUAUGUAUUCCCUUGCAAAUUUUUCCUUUUUCCCCCACAAAGAUUUCACCAUGUUUCCUUGUUUUCCCAACUUUAUGGUCCCUUGUUUUUUUAUCAUUUUUUUUCUUUGAAUUCUGUUUGCAAAAUAUGCAUUGUUCUCUGGUUUCCUAAAACCAGCCCUGGGAGACCCUCAGUACAGUCUCACAAUUAUUUGGUGUUAAGAAUUUUAGGACCCAAAGGCAACUGACAAUGGCUUCCUCUAUGAAUUCCAUUUCAGAACCAUGAAAAACUAGUUUGAUAUAAAUAUUAUAAUAUGAAAUAAGUUCCUCUAUGAACAUUGCCAGGUUUUUGCAGCUAUGAAUACUCAAGUCACAACUUAGAAAACCAAUAGUAAAAUGUGUCUUAGACGUAGUACAAGCUUCACAUUUGCCAUGUGGUAAAUGCUUAUUAUUUCAUAUUGUAGGUUGAUACUAGCAUGCCAAGACACUAGGAAAAGAAUCAUAGCCUGGAUAUGGAUUAUAUGGUCAUGAUGAUGCCUAUAACUGGCCAUUUGAAACCGAUUGUCUUAUAUCAAGAUCUUGAGUUGGUUUGAUGUCGAUAAGUGUCAACUAUGUCAUGCUGUAAAAAUAAAUUCAUCAAAAAAGGAUCACCAUCGAAAAAGGGUCACCAUCAACAGAUUCUGGGCGAAUGUAAUGACAGGCACUUUAUUUAUUUGCUGCCUACAUGCAACAUUAUUUCUUUAGCAAGGGGGUCUACUGUAUAUUGAUUAAUUUAAUACAGUCUUUGUUUUUUCCCUAUCCUUGUCUCAUUGUACAUGCCAAAGCUGCCUCUCUUUGACAAGUAAAAUUUGUGGUGUGAGGCAAUCAAGUAUUAUUGCCACACAGGUAGUAAUAAACAGAGCACCUUGCCUGUAAUGGGCUAACAAACAACAUAAUUCCUACUUUUCAAUUUCAAAAAUCCAGGGCAAAUUACAGUCCAUAAGGCUAUAAUGCAUAUGGCUUAAUGUGAUCUACAGUACUUUGUCAGUUUUCUGUGUCUAUAUACAAGAAAAUUUACUUGUCAAGGGAGAAAUGUUGGGCAUUAAUGAGUUAAUUUCAAUAGUAAUUCACUGAGAUGAAAUUAUUAAUUCAAUUGCAUGCAAGAUUAAGAAAUAGAUUAGGAAAUAUCUUGCUUCGUCUGUUACUAUAAUCAGGAUGAUACCAUAUGUAACUAAAGGUUCAAGGUACUGUACUGUACAUUUACUGAAGUUCUAACAUUGUAAUAGUACUUGUUGUCUUUGACAAAUGUAUGUGGACAUUUAAAUUUGACAGUAACUUAAUGUGUCAAUGAUGCAUGGUUUGAAAUCAAGUUGUAGAACUUUAUUUCUUGAAAUACGUGGCUAGUUGGUAUAAAAUAUAUUUCACAGAAAACUUUCUCG